UUUUUAUUUGUUUAUGUCAUUAAUUCUAAUAUUUAAAUAAACUAAAUACCUCCCUCAAUUUCAAAAUCAGAAAUCUAGGGUUUCAAGUUUCACUUUGAAUUUCUCUUCCUCCGGUGAAUCUCGCCGCCGCCGCCGCCGCUGCCGCUGCUCGACCGUUCCUCACGCCCUCUGCUCUCACCGUUUCAGCUCGCGGCAGUUCGGCAGUCGCCGAGGAAAUCUCGGCUGCGGCGGGCGAUGAGAGCGUGAUUCGGGAAGAUAAGCUGCGGAGCACAAGGAAUCAUCGGUGACAUACGACUGGACCAAGGAAUGGUAUCCGCUGUACCUCGCGAAGCAAGUAUCGGACGACGCGCCGCUAGGGCUCACCGCGACAUCUGCCGCGAACCGCCGCUGCUCGAGCAGCACCAGCGGUCGUCACUGCCAGUUGCACCUCCGCCGUGGUGGUUCUCGGCUAUUGCUGCCCCAUUUUCUUCUUCUAUUUUGUUCUUUUUCUUUACUUAUUCUAUGUUAAAUCCUUGUUCUAAUUCUUCCCUAACUAUUCCCCUAUUUCAGGAAUCGACCGAAUGUCGAACGUUGUCGAUUCGAGGGUGAGAAAUGAGCAAAGAGGUUUAGGCUCGCCCCUGCCUCACCCAGAGUCCAGACGGCCACCGUGAGCUGGCCUCGCCCAGCCAGAGACAAAUUAGUGUCGGAUUUCUCCAAUUCUCUCUGGUGAAGGCUGCCUAAGAGAGGAGAUGUGGAGCCUGGGGAGAUUCCUACGUUGCUCGAUUUGGGGUUUAAUCCGAAUGCUGCAACGGGGCAGGUGGCAAUAACAGUCAGCAGGAAGAUAGGAAGCUAGAUGUGGCAUUUUGGUUGGUGUUUUGUAUGUCUUUUGAAUUUGGAAAAAAUGUAAGAAUUUGGUGAAGCAAGUGUUGAACACCAUUUUUUUGUUAAUAUUGUUUGGAUGUAAAUUACAUGACUACUUUAGGUACUUUAAAGCUACAAUGUAUGGAAGUUUAAGUUAUUUUAGAA